UCUUGUGUGUUUGUGUGUGUGUUAGAGCUCGACCGAUAGUGGAUUUUACUGAUACCGAUAGCUAAGUUGGACCACACUGGCUGAUACCGA